GGGCCGUUGGCGCAGUGGUAGCGCAUCCACGUCUUGUUCUGGUAGGUGAUUCUCGGAUUCUCUACCAGAAGUGUGCUGGGGAAGGCUGUGGGUUCGGCUCUCACACGGUCUG